rnacentral:rRNA from 1 species
AGAGUUUGAUCAUGGCUCAGGACGAACGCUGGCGGCGCGCCUAACACAUGCAAGUCGAACGGAGCUUAGAGAGCUUGCUUUUUAAGCUUAGUGGCGAACGGGUGAGUAACGCGUGAGUAACCUGCCCUAGAGUGGGGGACAACAGUUGGAAACGACUGCUAAUACCGCAUAAGCCCACGGUACCGCAUGGUACUGAGGGAAAAGGAUUUAUUCGCUUUAGGAUGGACUCGCGUCCAAUUAGCUAGUUGGUGAGGUAACGGCCCACCAAGGCGACGAUUGGUAGCCGGACUGAGAGGUUGAACGGCCACAUUGGGACUGAGACACGGCCCAGACUCCUACGGGAGGCAGCAGUGGGGGAUAUUGCACAAUGGGGGAAACCCUGAUGCAGCGACGCCGCGUGGAGGAAGAAGGUUUUCGGAUUGUAAACUCCUGUCGUUAGGGACGAUAAUGACGGUACCUAACAAGAAAGCACCGGCUAACUACGUGCCAGCAGCCGCGGUAAAACGUAGGGUGCAAGCGUUGUCCGGAAUUACUGGGUGUAAAGGGAGCGCAGGCGGGAAGACAAGUUGGAAGUGAAAACCAUGGGCUCAACCCAUGAAUUGCUUUCAAAACUGUUUUUCUUGAGUAGUGCAGAGGUAGAUGGAAUUCCCGGUGUAGCGGUGGAAUGCGUAGAUAUCGGGAGGAACACCAGUGGCGAAGGCGGUCUACUGGGCACCAACUGACGCUGAGGCUCGAAAGCAUGGGUAGCAAACAGGAUUAGAUACCCUGGUAGUCCAUGCCGUAAACGAUGAUUACUAGGUGUUGGGGGAUUGACCCCCUCAGUGCCGCAGUUAACACAAUAAGUAAUCCACCUGGGGAGUACGACCGCAAGGUUGAAACUCAAAGGAAUUGACGGGGGCCCGCACAAGCAGUGGAGUAUGUGGUUUAAUUCGAAGCAACGCGAAGAACCUUACCAGGUCUUGACAUCCGAUGCAUAGCACAGAGAUGUGUGAAAUCCUUCGGGACAUCGAGACAGGUGGUGCAUGGUUGUCGUCAGCUCGUGUCGUGAGAUGUUGGGUUAAGUCCCGCAACGAGCGCAACCCUUAUUGCCAGUUACUACGUUAAGAGGACUCUGGCGAGACUGCCGUUGACAAAACGGGGGAAGGUGGGGAUGACGUCAAAUCAUCAUGCCCUUUAUGACCUGGGCUACACACGUACUACAAUGGCGUUAAACAAAGAGAAGCAAGACCG